AUAAGCACCGGCUAACUUCGUGCCAGCAGCCGCGGUAAUACGAAGGGUGCAAGCGUUAAUCGGAAUUACUGGGCGUAAAGCGCGCGUAGGUGGUUUGUUAAGUUGAAUGUGAAAGCCCCGGGCUCAACCUGGGAACUGCAUCCAAAACUGGCAAGCUAGAGUAUGGCAAAGGGAGGUGGAAUUUCCUGUGUAGCGGUGAAAUGCGUANAUAUAAGAAGGAACACCAGUGGCGAAGGCNACCUCCUGGNCUAAUACUGACACUGAGGUGCGAAAGCGUGGGGAGCAAACAGGAUUANAUACCCUGGUAGUCCACACCGUAAACGAUGUCUNCUAGCCGUUGGGAUCCUUGA
rnacentral:rRNA from 1 species